UUACGAGUGUCUCUUCAUACGAAAUUUUCAAGUUACGAAACGUUUCGACAGGAAAAUAUUGCCUAUUGUUCCGAAAGGUAAAAAUACAGUAUGGCCCGCUACUCGCAGCUCCGAGUUUCCUGAACGCAACACGCUUAUAGCUGCUCCGCCAUUGGCUGUUACCGAGCAUCAUCCUGGCAUCCCAUUGGCUAAGUGGGACCUCCUUGUAUCGGUUCUUUACGAAACGCCAGGCAAAAACCACUUCUGAGAGAGAACAUGAACUAAAGAGGGCAACAAAAACAAUAAGGACGCAUUUAAAAGUUAGAUGACCAUCAUUUUUAUUCUUUGCUCUAUUUCAUUGUUUUUUUUUUUUACAUGAUGCCCAACUCUCAUUUAUUCAUUCAUUCAUUCAUUCAUCUUCCGAGCCGCUUGAUCCUCACUAGGGUCGCGGGGGGUGGCGGAGCCUAUCCCAGCUGUCUUCGGGCAGUAGGCGGGGGACACCUGAAUCGGUUGCCAGCCAAUUGCAGGGCACACAGAAACGAACAACCAUUCGCACUCACACUCACCUAGGGACAAUUUAGAGAGUUCAAUCAGCCUGCCACGCAUGUUUUUGCAAUGUGGGAGGAAACCGGAGCACCCGGAGAAAACCCACGCAGGCCCGGGGAGAACAUGCAAACUCCACACAGGGAGCCCGGGGGAGCUGGAAUCGAACCCGGUACCUCUGCACUGUGAAGCCGACGUGCUAACCACUGGUCUACCGAGCCACUACUCUCAUUUAUUGCGCAAUAAUCGAAUCAUAAGAUGUAUUUGUUACAUAUCUUGAUGCAUUUUUAUGCUUUAGAAAACAUUCACGUGUGAAUUUUUGGUGGGGCUUGGAACGGAUUAGGGCAUUUACAUUGAAAAUGCGUCUUGACUUACAAAAUUUUCUAGUGAAGAAAUUUCUUCCACAACCAAUAAGUAGAGGUACCGCAGUAUGCUUGUUUAUUCCACAAUAUACUCUCUUGGGGUCUAUUUUGUAUUUGUGUACUUCUAUAAAGUAUUUGUAUUUAUUUUGAUACGUUGGCAAAUUUCAACUUGCAUUAGAAUUGCUGUAUUCCACUUGUUUUUUUUUCUUUUUUAAAUCCAUCCGCUGACCGUGUACUUGUCCGUUCACGGUGGAAGCCCAUCGCCAUUAGAGCGCGUGUUUGCGCCGAGAUGCGGCAUGCAACACGGCGUCCCCACGAAGCGUGCGGUGCGGGUGUUUACGCGGCUCCUUCACAGCUGGAUGAAAAGCAAGGUAGAGCUGCUCGGCCCGCCGCUACUACCCCCCCCCCCCCAGCUCUUUCUCUCACUAUCGCAUUGGGCUUUGCAUCCCCGGGUUACCUAGCAACCUGGCCUCUCGCUCAGCACUGUCGCUUGGCAACCGGGACCUGCUAGCAUAAUAUAAACUCCCCCCUCCCUCUCUCACCCACACCCCCCCAUCACUCUCCCCCACCAUACUCACAUCUCCUCUGUCUUCUCACGUCUGCUUUUCACACCUGAGGAGUAGGCGACAGAGCAGAUUUUUUAAUAAUCUGGCUCAUGCCCCUCCCCCCCUCAACACACACACACACACACACAAUAAUGCCGUGAAAGCACGCAUAGAGCAGAACUAACCACCUUGUCGAUUUGCCUAAUAUGAGUGUGUUUUUGUCAGAGCAUCCUGCACGAGGCGCGCGGAGCACUCAGUGAAAUUUGAUCCUUUGGAUUUAGCGCCGCAUAAUCCAACAGGACUAUAGCGGAUAAAUGUUAGACCUUUGCACUUGGAGCUUCUUUCUAUUUCGGGGGAGUCUAAGUCCUUUGGGAAAUGAACCGGAGAAUUAAAAAGGCUGCCUCAAAUCCAUACAAAUUUAUGAUUGCAGGGGGGGAAGAAAAAAAAAACAGGAAUGAGAUUACAUUCGGGGCAAAGCCGGUGACACAUUUGGCAAUUUUUGGAAGGGAAAAAAACAAAA